rnacentral:rRNA from 1 species
CACCCGAUCCCAUCCCGAACUCGGAAGUGAAACCGUUUAGCGCCGAUGAUAGUGUGGCAGUUUGCCAUGCGAAAGUAGGGAAUUGCCAAGC